GGUGAAAAAAUAAAUCCUAUUGUUCAGUCUGUGGAAGGUAGGACUUGGGAGGGAGUAUUUUACAGUGGUUGAGUUCUGUUUCUUGGAGCCACAGUGCCUGGUUGGAACCCUACCUCUGCCAGUUAUUGACUGUGGUCUUUGGUAGGUAAAGACAUAAUUUAUUAUCCAAACUAUGUAAUUUAUGAGAACGAAAGGAGAUACUUGUAAUGCUUGUACCAGGAGAGCAGGCAUAAACUAGGAUGGUCUGAGGCAAACCAGGUGACAUGGUCACUCUGGUGUUAAGCAAGUUACCUAAUCUUGGUGUCUUGGUUUCUUCACAUUGUGAAAUGGACAUGACUCACUUCCUGGGGUGUUAAGAUUAAAUGCAAUAAAACGUGUGAAGUUUUGGAAUGUUGUUUGACACACAACUGUUCAACAAAUUUAGCUAUUUGAAAAAAUUAUUUAGAAUACUUAAUUCGUGAAAUAACCACUUAUGUAUUCGAUUCGCUUUCUAUUGUCAUUAUUUCUCCCAAGCUAAUUUUGUUUUUUUUUUUUCCUCCCCCAAGAGGCAAGGUCUCACUAUGUUGCCCAGGCCUCUAACUCCUAUGCUCAAGUGAUCUUCCUACUUAAGCCUUCUGAGCAAACUUUGCUUUUAAUAACGUUAAUGUUUACUAAUGGCUUUUUCCAUUUAUGGCACCUGCUCUAACUCAUUUGCUUGCUUUAUCUGAGCCCUUUACUCAGAUAAAGGCUCAGAAAAUAAAAUUGACUUUUACUUUUUCAGCUACCUGUAUAUCUGGCACUUAAUUAUAUAAUUAGCACCUGUGGCGCAGAGAUAGCUGGGUGUUGGGGCACUCAUUUAUCAGAUUGUGUCUAAUUAGCAUCUACACUGGAGAGCUCCUUUUGAACAGCUGGCGCCAAGAUAUAGGAAUAGUUGGGAGGUUGAGAGGUUGAGUGAGUGGGGAGUGGUGAAACUAGACCUUCUUGUCGCUUUUAAAAGUUGGAUUUUUUCCAGUGUAGUGAUAUGCAUGCAGGGUUGCCAGAUUUAGGAAAAACAAAAUCAGACAAAAAAAGAAGCCAGAAUGUCUGGUUAAACUUUAAUUUCAGGUAAAUAGCACAUCAUUUUUUAGUAUGUAUUAUGCAGUAUUUGAGACUUACUUACCCUAAAAAUUCAGCUUUAACUUGAUGUCCACUGUUUAUCUGGCAAUCCUAGUUAUGUGAUCUAGAAAGAAUUUUUAUUCUAUUCAGUGUAACCCACAUUCAGAUAUAUAUGAAAUGUGCAGUCCAGAUCCUUUUGUAAGUAUCGUGUUUAUUUUUUAAAAAGUCCAUAUUGUCUACCCUGCAUUGAAUGGAUGGUUGAGAAGUUGUUAGUGCGUUGCUGCUGCUGGUUCCUACAAAGGCCAAGAUGAAAAAGAGUUGAGUUUGGUUUGCCACAGCAGCAGGGAUUACAUUUGCUCUUUGAGAACUUCUUGGCUGUGAGUGUGGAUGAACUGAAACCAUUUCUUUCUCCUUGGAGGGGAGUCCAUUAGUUAAGGUGACUUAUUGAAGCCCGGGCCAACUCUAGGAGUUCUCGGUUUUGUAAUUGAAUUACUUUAGUAAUAUUAAAUAAUUUGGGGAGUGGAUUAAAUUGAGGUCAUUUAUAUAUCAUUUGUCAAUGUACAGGGAACAACUUUUAUUGUCAUUAAAAGUGACAUUCAGCUUGGCAUCAUGGUGAACACCUGUAUAGUCUUAACUACUUGGGAAGCUGAGGUGGGAGGAUUACUUGAGCCCAGGAGUUUGAGGCCAGCCUGGGCAACAAGCAAAACUCACAUCUCUAAAUAAUAAUAAUGAUGAUGAUGAUGAUAAGCAAAUCCCAGAAAUGAAUAACAGGUUUGGGAAAAGAAAAAAAAAAAGUAAACUUCAAAUACUCUUGUCAUUAGAAUCUCUCUUGCUGUUUUUGAUUUUCAGCAGUGCUGCCUAGAAAAUGCUGGUGAGUUUUUUGCCCCAGUUUUGGAAACUCUAUCAGCAGUCAGCCUGAAGGGCAUGGCAUGCCUUUGGGAAAUGCUGAUUGUAAGAUUAGAGGCUGCAGAAACCUGAGUGACUAUUCGUGUGUGUGUGUGUGUGUGUGUGUGUGUGUGUGUGUUUGAACUCUGGGUAUGAUGCCUCUGUUAAACCAGGUCCCUGAGGAAAAGCUUCACCAGGUUAAUGAUGUACUUGGUGGAAUUAGUAACAUCAAGUAAAGGUUCAGAUUGUGCCUGCUGGAAAAGAGUGAGCCAAAGCAAAUGGAUUUUGGACCAAUACUGGCUUUUUAAUUGCUGCUAUUUAAAGAGUUUAAUGUCUCCAAUAAUAAAGCACAGGUUUCAGAUAAUCUUUUGAAGAAAAAUACAUAGUGGUAAGAGCUUACUAUUAGGCACAGAUAGUGUUUGGUUGGGGUAGCCAAGGGGAGGAAUCCAAUUAAAGCUGUUUCUUCAGAGUACUAGAUUUGGAGGUAUAUUUUGUUGUUAACUGGCGACUUUCCAGAAAAUAAUUAUUUGUAUAUAAAGAUUGAUGCUAGCCAGGCUUUGUAUACUGACAGUUAUUUGUAAAACCUCUUGGCUUCCUCCUUUUACCUUCUUUUCUGAUCUGUCUCAUUUCCUCCUCAUGGCUUCCUUUAGUGGCCCAUUUUUUGAACAUGGUUUUGCUCUUGAUGAGCCUGAGGUUUCACAGUGUCACAAGAUGGCAUGGUGGGUGGAAUAUUUGGCCUCAUUAUUUACAUGGCUUAGUAUUUGAAAUGUCUGGUUGGAUAGGGAUUGACUAUUAAUGGUAGACAUUUCACACUUUGGAACAUUGAUCCUCAAUCUUGAUAGCACAUUGGCAUCCCCUGAGGAGGCUUAAAAAAAUGCAAGUGUCAGCUGGGCAUGGUGGCUCAUGCCUGAAAUCCCAGUGCUUUGGGAGGCUGAGGAAGGAGGAUUGCUUGAGCCCAGAAGUUCAAGACCAGCCUGGGCAAUAUAGAGCUCAUCGGCACAGAAGAAAAAGAAAAAAUUAGAAAAAAAUGCAGAUAUCUGGGUCCCACUUCCAGAGUAUCUGAUUUAAUUGUCUGGGGUAUGAAAUGUGCCCCAGGUCUUGCAGGAGGUCCUCAGAUGAUUCUAACAUAAGCCAAGUAUGCAUGUUAUCCUCUGGCCUGCCCUUAGAAGGAUGUCUCUAGCCUGCUCUGUCCAGUAGGAAGCCAUGAGCACAAGGAGGUUGCUUAUGUUUACAAGAAUUAAAAUGAAGUCAACCAAAACUUCAUUUCCUCAGUCACACUAGCCACAUUUUGAAUGCUCAGCAGCCACCGAUGGCUCAUGACUACCAUAUCGGAUAGUACAGAUAUAGAACAUUUCCAUCACAGCAGACAGUUGCAUUGGGCAACCUAGAUCUAGGACGUCAACAAAACAUGGGAGGAACAUGAACAUUUGAGAAGCCUGACACUGGAAGGGCAGGCUUGGAAUAGAGCUAAUCCCACAGGACUUGGCCGUGCUGAGUUACUCCAUGCUUUUUUAAGCAGCCUUUUUCUCAAUGGUUUUUUGGCACCCAGAGCCCCACGGCAGUUGGUGCAAUGGAUUAUGUGUCACAUCUUACAGAAAGGCCCUGUUUAAAGCCGGCUGGCCUCAAGGGCUGUGGUGAGGACUGGGGGGCAGGCAAAUGUGACCCCGAAGAGGCCACGCUAGCGAAGAGAGAAUGCAGCUUUAUUCUUUCAGAGCCGAGGAAUGCCCAGCAAGGGACUGAAGCCUGAGUAUUGGGGUUAAACUAGGUGAGAGCAGAUUUUAUCUCUUCUGCUGGAGAAAGACCAGCCUCAGUAGUUUGCCUCUCCUGGCUCAUCUCUAGUGUGUGGGAAACAGGGACAGUGCUAGUACAUAUUUCCCAUGAAAUAAACUCCCAUUGUGGGCCCCCAUGUUAUUGGAGGGCUGGGCACCAAGGGUGGAGAAUGGAAUCAAUUAUGUCCCAUGUUUGUUCAGACAUAGCACGUAAGAUCCCAGGAUAGGAUCACAGAAGAGUGAGGGGUUAGAGGAAAGAUGAAGUAUGACAAAGAAUGUGGAUUUUCUAUACCAUGCUUCCCUCAGCAGGACCUUUUUAGAGGUUCUUCCUCCUGCAGGCAUGAGAAACCCUCACAUGGAGGGGCUGUCUGGAGGCCAGCAGUCAGUCUGUACCAUCCGGGCUCUUUGCUGUGCCUUCCUGCCUCCUGCAUUUUGCUGGACAUUAGCACCUCCCCAGGAACAGAUUUCUGUUGCUUUCCGUGAGCCCUGCUGUAAAGAAAAUGCCAAGUGUUCCUGGGCACGGGAAAUGUGUAGGAAGAACUCUGAGAAUGCAAGAAUCAAAGGCACUUGGGUGAUUUAGGGGUGUGACUCCCAGUGGCUUCACGGGGUCUGUGAGUCAUUUCAGAGAGUUUUCCUGUUUUGUCAUUGUGUGCUAUGUAUAAAUCCAGGGUGAAGUGUGAGUGCAGCAACAGACUUCAUUCCCUUCUUGCUUUGUUCCGCUGGUCAGGUUAGUGUUCUUGAUGGGGUUGUAUCCAAAUAUUUGUAUUGGGGCUGGGCAUGGUGGCUCAUGCCUGUAAUCCCAGCACUUUGGGAGGUCGAGGCAGUCAGAUCACCUGAGCCCAGGAGUUCGAGACGAGCCUGGGAAACAUGGUGAAACUCCAUCUCUACAAAAAAUAAAAAAUUAGCUGGGCAUGGUGGUGCCAUGCCUGUGGUCCCAGCAACUUGGGAGACUGAGGUGGGAGGAUUACUUGAGCCCAGGACAGAGGUUGCAGUGAGCUGUGAUUGCACCACUGCACUCCAGUCUUGGGGACAGAGCGAGACCCUAUCUGAAAAACAAAAAACAAACCAAAUACGUGUAUUGGCAAGUGCUAACUGCAUGGUAUUAACUGCCUUUCUCUGAGGAAUAAGUGAUCAGGACCCUCCUAGGACUUUUGUAUGCCUAAGAAUUGUGUAUAUUUUUCUUUCAUUCACUUCUGUCCCACUUUUGACUGCCAGAAGAGGCAUGCUCUCCUUCCUUUCCCAUUGUCAGUAAGUUUGAGACAUUUUGUUAAUACUCAUCUGCUAUUUUUAAUUAUGUUUCACACUUGUAUUUUGCCUGAUUUUUCUAUAUUAUCUUUCCUCAAGCCCAGAGAGCUAGGUAGGAAAUGUUAACGUCUCCUAAGAACAGGAAUACGGGAAGCUGGAAAGACUAAAAAGAAAUGCUAACAGGAGUAAUAGGAAAGCCAGCAUUGAUGAUGAGUGUCUUCUGGAAUAGCCAUCCUGGUAACUCUUCAGGGUGCCACUGUUUCUCUAUGCUAAUGGAUGUUUGAGGCCUUUUGUAGGAUAGAAUUUUGGAUCAAGCCUGUAAUCCUAGCACUUUAGGAGGCUGAGGUGGUUGGAUCACGAGGUCAAGAGAUCGAGACCAUCCUGGUCAACAUGGUGAAAUCCCGUCUCUACUAAAAAUACAAAAAAUUAGCUGGGCACGGUGGCGCGUGCUUGUAAUCCCAGCUACUCAGGAGGCUGAGGCAGGAGAAUUGCCUGAACCCAGGAGGCGGAGGUUGCGGUGAGCCGAGAUCGCGCCAUUGCACUCCAGCCUGGGUAACAAGAGCGAAACUCCGUCUCAAAAAAAAAAAAAAAGAAUUUUAAAGGACAAGUUGAGAAGUGUUAUAAUUCCUGGGAGUAGUUCCUUGGUUUUUCCUUCAUCCUUGUGAUUGUGCUGGCCCAGGGUGGUUGUGGUUUCUGCGAUGAGCUCCCAGAAAGCCAACGUGGCUCAUUCCAGGCCUCAGGCACCAGAAUACAUUUAGCUUCAAAAAUGACAAGUUCAAUAAGAGUGUUAAGACCAAGAAAAUUAAUGCAAAACUUCCUGAUGGAGUGUGUCAGCACUAUGAAGAAGUUCUUGAGUGGCGUGUUAACAUACAAAAAAUAUAAAUCAUUAUCAAAACCUUAUAAAUGUGUUAAAUGUUUAUAAAAGACAGUGAGGGAUUCUUAUCACUUGUGUAGGCCAUGCACCUAUGAACUUGAAGUUUGCACAAAAUGUGGAAAGAAAGAAGACAUUGUUAUUCUGUUCAAUAAAGAACCAGAAAAAACAGAGGGUAUUAAAAUAAUCUAAGUUAUAAUCAUAGAAGAAGCUGCAGAAGAAAUGAAGGAAGGGAUGAUAAUUUAGAUUACAAUAUCGAUUUAGAAGAUACAGGAGGAGACCAUCAAGUGAAUUAAUAUCACAAUAUUAAAAGUCAAUUUAAGAAUGUGAAAUUGUGACCAACCUUUGACUUUGAGUAUUUCUUAAAAGAUAACUGUGAAAUCCUAAUGAUGCAUAACUUAACUGAUUCAUUUAUUCAUUUAUUGUAACACUAGGAAAGCAAUGGCACUCUAGUCUACUGGGUAGACUAACAUUAAUAAUUUUUAACAAAGAAAGAAAUGUGGCAUUAGAUACUUAAUACUGUGAAGGAAAAGUAUGCAGCUUUGUGAACACAUGUCAGAGGAAUUGGAUCUAGACUGAAAAUCAGGGAUGGUUUCUCAGAGAAAAUGCUUAAGUUAUGCAAGUGUGCAAAAUAGAUGUACAUUUAUUGAAUCAUCACUGCUCUGCAAUUCAUUGUACUAUAAAACAGUAGUAUGUCAUGCAUACAGCAAAUGCAAAAAAGUACACAUCAAAGGCACCUAGUAAUUAGUCCUGAGAAUAAUGUUUUCCAUUAAUAUAAUAUUGCUUAAAUAAUUCCAUUAGGUGAAAACUUUUUAUGGUGAUAGACAUAAUUAAAUGUUGGAAACCGAGUAAUCUAUUUAAUUUCAAAGGAAAAAAUUGUGCUGAUUUUUGAAAAAGUUAAAAAACACCAAAAAAUUUUUAAUGAAGAAAUCAGAAAAAGCUAUAGAAAACAGACAAAUUUUAUACAUCAACAAUAUAAAUGUAUACGAUACAUUACCUAAUACCAAACUAAACCAGAUUCAGAAUUGAUGGUUAUGUAAGAACUAGCUCAUAUAAAAAUAAGAUGACAUUAUUAUAUUGCUAGCCUCAAAAUUUGGUCCUCAGUAAGUGCCUUUUGAUAAAUGAUCUCACGUAAAUGACUCAUAGCAAAAAUACCGAAACUUAGGUUUGUUUGUUAAAGGCAAAAGCAGUUUUUUCAAAUAAUAAUGUUUAACAAGUGUAUAGCAAUUUUGUUUGUAUUUUUAUAUACCUCAUCACAUUGUUUUUACCUGUUUCAUCCUGUGAAAUGUACAUAUGGAAAAUGCAUAGAAUUUAUAGAGAGAGUUUAAUAAGCCCAGGUGAAGAAACUGCCAGCAUCAGAAGACCCCAGCGAGGCUUGUACUCAGCACAAGUUCAUCCUUCUUCCCAGCGUUGGCACUACUCUGAAUUUUGAUAAUUAUUUUCUUAAUUUUUUUACUACCCAUGUUUGUACUCCUAAACAAUAUAAAUUAGCUUUGUCUGGUUUUUAAUCUCUUUCCUAUCUUUUUUAUUUUGAAAAACAUCAAACCUACAAAAAGGUAGCAAAAUAGUUGUAUGAACUUUUGCAUACUCACCUAGAUCCCCGAUUGUUCACAUUUUGCCACGUUGUCUUUAUAUCUCAAUAGAUGGACGUACACAUAUAUUUUAUUUGCUGAACCAUUUGAAAAUGUGGCAAACACUGGUUUUGAACUUUGUAUAAACACACUUAUGCUAUACAUGUUAUUUUGUAUCUCUUUUUUCAUUGUUAUAAAAUUUGUUGAGAUCGAUCCAAGAAAAUAAUAAUAAAGAACAAGUAGAAAACUUACCUCUAAGCCCUUGAUUAUAUGCGUUAUGAGGUACUGACUUUUGAUUCUCAGUAUAGUAUACAGAAAGGUCUUCUCAAAGUAAGUAGACCUGAGUUCUUGACAAUAAGAUUAAAUUGCAAUUAAAACCAAAGCAUGAGGUGGUACUUUAAAGGUCAUCUUGUUUGGUGGUUUCCAGACAUGUGCAUCAGAACCACCUUAGGGACCCUUAAAAACAUGAUAGGUUCUGGGCCAUAUCAUAUCCUUUUUGAAUAAGAAUUUCUAGGCACUAGAUCCAGGAGUCUGUAUUUUGAAAUUCCUAGGUGAUUUUGGUGAGUGUCCAAGUUUGAGACCCACUGGCCAUACCCUGAUGCCUCAAUUUUCAGAUGAGGAAACUGAGGACUAGGGAGGGAAACUGAUUUCCUUGCAGUUCAAGGCAGCCCAUGGUAAGACUAGAACAAGGACUUUUCUAAGAUCCCUUGCACCCCUGAGAGUCAGUGACUCUCUGUUUUCACCUUGGACUGCCAUGAUAUCUGACUCAUACUAUAGUCGUCUUCUUAAAAUCCACUUCUUUUUAUUGUUUAUUUUUGGCAGGCUGUUGAAUUCCUCUCCAGUUUCAUUCUGUGAGUGCUAUUUCUUUCUUCAUUAUAAAAGUUGGUGUGUCACAGGUCCUGUGUGGUCACACAGGCUAAGUGUAAGCUUUGAGAAUGAUCUCCGGGACCCUUUUUCUCAGAUUUCAGUGUUGUGCAUUAUGUCAUCCUGAUGGCUUAUGAUUUAGUUUCUCCUCCUCCCUUCACCAUAAAGAAAGUCCUAUCUCCCGAUAUAUUUUUGGCUGCAGAAUAACUCCAGAUGGUACAUUUUGUAAAGGAAAAAAAAAAUAACAGAAAUUUUCACACUCUUCUGUGAAUUAUUUUUCUACUUUCAAUUUUAACAAAGUUAUUAAUCUUACAAAAGCUCACUUUGUAAGAGUCUAAAAUAAUCUAAUUUUCUAGAAAUAGAAAAUUAAGAAAAAUAAUUUUUAAAGCUGGGAUUUGAUGUUGAGAAAUGAGUGACAAAAAUGGGACCAAAUAAAAUGCUCUCACUGGCUGGAUUUGGUGGCUCAUGCCUGUAAUCCCCGUACUUGGGAAGCCUGAGGUGGGAGGAUCCCUUGAGCUCAGGAGUUCAAGACUAGCCUAGGCAAUAUAGUGAGACCUGUUCUCUAUUAAAAAAAAAAAAAAAAAAAAAAGCAUUGUGCCACUGUGCUCCAAUCUGGGUAACAGGGUGAGACCUUGGCUCAGAAGAAAAAAAAAAAAAAAGAAAAUGAUAUAACUGAAAGUGCUUUGAAAAAUAUAUGGCAAUAUGCAGAUGCAAGUUGCUGAUUUUUAAAA